CAAAAAAAAAAAAGGUAUAACAUCAAACAUACGGGUAGAACUAGAAGCUGUUUUUCCCCGAAGCAGCACCUUUCACGUAGUACAAUUUUUGUAGCACAUUAUUUAUAUCCUACUUUUGGCUUUCAGUUUUCUGCUUUUCUAAAUGGAUGGAAAUAGACAGAUAGUUCAGAAUUGUUUCAAGGGAGAUAAAGAAAGAAGGUAGGUUUUAUAGUUUUUUAAGUAAACAGCUUACACUUCAUAAAAAAAAACAGCUUACAACUUUCUCAAAACACAGCUGAGAGUAUCUUUUUUUUAUAGUUCACAGCUCACAAUAACUUUUCACAGCAGUGAAACGGUCAGCCGUGUAGCAAAUCAUGCAUGAUGUCAAUUACUACUAAUGCUUACUCCCUGC
rnacentral:lncRNA from 1 species